GUAACAUUUUUUGCAGAAUUUAGAAAACUCUGUCCUAAAUCUGAACUGACAGGCUCUUCUUAAUGACUGCCACAACACAAACACUGAGAAAAAGAUGCAACCAGAAAAGGUGGAAAGUUCUGAUGACAUAGAAAAUAGCAAUCAGCCUUUCUCACAUCCCAAAGCCUUCAAAAAUAUACGAGUGCAGCAUGGCCACUAUGGAAUUCACCGAAAACUAAUCACCAAGCUACAAACAUGGUGAGAGAAAAAAAAGGGCAAGAAUAUAUCUGGCUUAUCACCUCCCACUUUUGCCUACUAAUCUGAUGCUGAAAAGAAAUGCUCAUUGAAUCAUUUUAGAUUUUGAAUCUUUCAGAUUUGGGAUGCUAAACCAGUAAGUAUAUGACAAAUAUUUCAGAAUCAAAAAAUAUCAGAAAUCCAAAACACUUUUUGUCCUAAAACUUAUGCAUAAGAGAUAAUCUCUGUGAACUAUAGGCAUCAAGCUCUACAGCAGAUCUCUAGAACCUCUCCAACUUGCAUAAUUGAAACUGCACACCCAUGAACAACUUCUGAUUCUCCCCACUCCCAGCUCCUGGCAACCAGCAGCCUCGUCUCAUAUUCAAUCUGGAAUCAACUUACAUGAGGUGCCUAGAUUCGUGGAACCCAUGAAAUCAGAGAGUAGAAUGUCCAAUGAAAGAAAAGAUUUGCAAAACUUCUCUCCAAAUUUGUCUCAUAUCCAUCAAACACACAUGGUCCAUGAGGACUAGAUUUCCAGCAGUUCAUUCCCACCCUUUCCACCAGUCAGUUCUGCAUUUGCAAAUGUCCACAUGUAUUUCUAGAAAGAUCCACAUGGUCCUCACCUGCCCUCUGCAGAAGGAGAGGAAACUUAAAGAACCCAGGACAGGGAACAUGCUUCUGCUCCAAAGCCACCAGCCCUUGCCUGUCCCCUUCACUCUUUCUAGAUCAUUCCUUGCACUCUGCUCUAUCUUUAGAGGUCACUGGUUCAAGUAAGUCAUCAUGAAACACCUGCAAAAAAACUGCCCCACCUGGUGCCUCUAGUGCCUGAUGACUGAACUGACCUACAGGCUUGCACUGGUCUUCCCUGUGUUAUUUCUGCUGAAACAUCCAGUCCCAGGCCAGGCUGCUCAGUAUCUUCAGGGUUUCAGGACAAUGGGAAGUCCCAUUAUUACUCAUCUCUAGAAUGUCCUUGGAAAUGGAAGCUGCAGAGAAAUCACAUCUAGGGGGGCAAAGUAGGAUGGAAUUUGGAAGGGGCCCAGCAGUUGCACAUUCCAGGUAAGGAACCCAAGGUGAGCCAGCCAGUCAACUGAUUAAGGAGGGACUGGGAGGGGUACCAGGGGCUGUGACUCCUACUGAUGUGUCUGUCCAUGACCCAACACUGCUGCUCAAUGGACACUUCAGAAAGUCUGUGCUUCCCUAAGACAGAGCAGGAGGCCUCACAGUCUUUGAGCCCUUAGAUCAUCAUGCAUCUGUCCUGUGACACAUGCACCAGCUACUGGUUUUCAAGGACUCAUGUGGGUUUACAGGUGGGAGAUGCCAACUCUGAUGGAAGGAUGCCUGUGGAGGAAUCAAAGGUGCCACACAGGACAAUCUUCUCUCUGUUAUCCACACAGCGAAGCUGCCCAUGCCCUACAUCACCAUCAACAACUUAAACCCCAGGGAGAAGAAGGAUGUGUUAGCCUUCACCUGUGAACCUAAGAGUCGGAACUACACCUACAUUUGGUGGCUAAAUGGUCAGAGCCUCCCGGUCAGUCCCAGGGUAAAGCGACCCAUUGAAAACAGGAUACUCAUUCUACCCAGUGUCACGAGAAAUGAAACAGGACCCUAUCAGUGUGAAAUACGGGACCGAUAUGGUGGCAUCCGCAGUUACCCAGUCACCCUGAAUGUCCUCUAUGGUCCAGACCUCCCCAGAAUUUACCCUUCAUUCACCUAUUACCGUUCAGGAGAAAACCUCGACUUGUCCUGCUUUGCGGACUCUAACCCACCGGCAGAGUAUUAUUGGACAAUUAAUGGGAAGUUUCAGCAAUCAGGACAAAAGCUCUCUAUCCCCCAAAUUACUACAAAUCAUAGCGGGCUCUAUGCUUGCUCUGUUCGUAACUCAGCCACUGGCAAGGAAAUCUCCAAAUCCAUGAUAGUCAAAGUCUCUG
rnacentral:sRNA from 1 species